rnacentral:piRNA from 1 species
UAGGGUAUGUCAUUAUCUUUGUGGG